AGUGAACGCUGGCGGUAGGCCUAACACAUGCAAGUCGAACGGCAGCACAGUAAGAGCUUGCUCUUACGGGUGGCGAGUGGCGGACGGGUGAGGAAUACAUCGGAAUCUACUUUUUCGUGGGGGAUAACGUAGGGAAACUUACGCUAAUACCGCAUACGACCUACGGGUGAAAGCAGGGGAUCUUCGGACCUUGCGCGAUUGAAUGAGCCGAUGUCGGAUUAGCUAGUUGGCGGGGUAAAGGCCCACCAAGGCGACGAUCCGUAGCUGGUCUGAGAGGAUGAUCAGCCACACUGGAACUGAGACACGGUCCAGACUCCUACGGGAGACAGCAGUGGGGAAUAUUGGACAAUGGGCCCAAGCCUGAUCCAGCCAUACCGCGUGGGUGAAGAAGGCCUUCGGGUUGUAAAGCCCUUUUGUUGGGAAAGAAAAGCAGCAGGUUAAUACCCCGCUGUUCUGACGGUACCCAAAGAAUAAGCACCGGCUAACUUCGUG
rnacentral:rRNA from 1 species